UGUCCUGGCAGAAAACCUUCGUACAGCCUGGCCGAUGAUGACACAGCUGCUCAUCGAUGAUAGGGGUGGGCAAUUGCAACAGGAGAAGAUAACCGACGAUGACGUCGCUGCGUUUGUGCAUGCUGUCAAUGCACAUCCUUUGCUCCAAGUGCUUACGUUGUUAACCAACACAUCGGGACAGUCUCCUACACGGGCCUGCCUCCGUCUCCUGAGGAGGUCAUCGUACAAGACUACGCUGGUGUGCAAAGUCAGACAUCAGAACUAGGUCGACUGACGGAGACAAAACAUGCAAGUAACAGUAGUUAUGGCUGCUCCUCAAGAGGAUGCUGAUGAAGCAUCCAUUUCACAGGAAAGCGGACCUUCUACGCGUAUGUCAAGCUGCCCGAAUCAAUCUGGACUAGAACCUCAUUAUAGCAUUGGCACUACUGCGUUGACACACUCGUUUGACAUCCCGGUACACUGGGACAUUGCAGGGGUGUGCCGGGCUCAUGACGUCAUGGUGUUGUCCACGAGAUGCACAGCGUUCAAAUCAUUGUAGAACGAUUUCAACGGUCGCAGAAACGUGGAACCAGCGCAACCCAACUCAGCGCCCCAAAGCCUUUGUACUACAGUGAAACAUUGUCAGUUGUUUGAGCAACCGCCCCGCCGGGUGCAACCAAAAGAGGAGUUAACAGACGAGAGGUCUUUAUGACAAAGUCCCAAUAGCUCUGCUUUGAAGUACGAAUUUAGUACAGACGAAGUAAGCAUGAGUUAUCACACCUCGCUCAAGUGCAUGCAGCACACCCUGCACUGCCAACUGUCGUUUCCCUUGAGUGCAUACAUGGAUGCACUCCCUUCUACAUGUGAGCGCACAUCAUCCCUAUUGCGGUCGAGCAUGUCAGUCUAGACAGAACUGGUGUGGCCUCUGUGUUGAGGUCAGAUACGGGACGUGGUACACUAAUAGUCCGUGAGCCAAAACUCAAAAUCACAAGUGCCGUUGCACUCUCGGAUGGACAAAUCGCCGCUUACAGUGUUGGUCAAGGACAUCACAAAGGAUACGUUUUCGCUUGUUGGACGUUCCAGAACCGAUCCAGAGACCUUCGCGAGGGCUUCUUUUCUCGACCAAAUUCCACCGUGAGAACGAAUAUUUUUACGCGAGUGGUGAGGUGUGCGUCGUAUGAGCAAGCGCAAAACACGAGUUCGCGUAGAGUGAGGAAAAAUAAUUUAUUUUUAGAAGAUGACGACGUUGACGACAAUAUCGACUUGGGAUAUUGUGAUCACUUUAUUGAAGUUUAUUCCUUUCGUGUACAUUGAUGUUGUUUUGACAACAAUGGAAGAAGAGGAAGACGUUUCUAGUGGCAGCGAGGUGCUGGAUGAGGCAGCUGACGGCAACGAAGUGGCAAAUGACAGCCCAGCGGAGUAAUAUUGCUGGAAUUUUGUGUCUGUGUCACAGCGCCCAAUUUAGUAAAAACGAGAAGCCUGCAGUGAGUAAUAUCGAGACUACAAGUUGGUGUCGCAUCGUCAGCGCUGCUCGAGAGAAGGACGACCAUAUCUGGGCUUUUCUCUGCCAGCACAAGAGCUCAGGGAGGAGUAAAUGGUGUGGCUGGUAUCAUGAAAAGUGCUACACCAAUUGCACCCAUGUGAUAGCAAUUGCAAACCUGGAGAAGACCAGUGCCUCUGAUUUUGCUUUGUCUAUACUUGCUGACAGUGAUGUGCAUGUAGUAGUGAACCCAGAGCCACAUCCUAAGGCCAGUAAGGGGCUACCUACCAGGAGCUUAGUGGUUGAUACGAACAACGAAUGCCAUACCGGUGAAAGCAGAGCACGGUGUAAACACAACACGGAGAACUGGUCCACCCAGAGUUUCCGGAAGGGAAUGUUUUGUUGCAGGCAGCACUGGAGAGGGCAAGACGACAAGUAGCGAGGGCGAAACCAGCGCUGCUGGAGGUCCAAGCCAGAGCACCUGGCUGCUUUGCGGGCAACAUACUACUGUAUACCAUUAGCUGUGUAUGUGUGUGUGCGCGUGCAUGUGUGCGCGUGUUUGUGUGUGUGGGUGCGUGCAUGUGUGUGUGCGUGUGCAUGCGCGUGCAUGUGUGUGUGCGCGCGCGUGCAUAUGUGUGUGCGAGUGUGCAUGUGUGUGCGAGCGUGCAUGUGUGCGCGCGCGCACGUGCAUGUGCGUGCUAGGCGUUUUCCUUUGUUGGUGACACCACCCCAGGCUACUACUGGUGUUGGGGCGCGGUGUUGCCACAGCCACUGCGGCCAGUGCGAUCCGUGUUUCAGGUCGUUGGUGGGUUUUAGAUUCCGCAAUUGUCGACAAGGUGUGCGCCGUGUGUGUGUGUGUGUGUGUGUGUGUGUGUGUGUGUGUGUGUGUGUGUGUGAAACCCGACAGCAUUGGUGUGAUGUUGUCCGAAGGGACAUCCAUCACUUACAUCUUGAAGGAUAUUGGUUCGACACUGCACAGCAGCGAGGAGAGUGGCGCACAGCAUUCAGAAUUGCUUCACCACCACAGCCGGCCUCCCGUGAUCGGAUUCAGUGUAGUAUUUGUAACAUUUCCUUUUCGAAGAGCGGCCUGCCAUGCCACAAGUGUACUCAAGAGCGUCGCAAACCUGUAGCAGACCAGUCUGGCAGCAGCCAAUGCACUGUAUGUCUUCGCUGGUUUCGCAGUCAUGGCAGACUGACAUAGUCGGAUUCGGCAGCUGGUUCAUGUGUGUGUGUGCGUACGCACGCGCGUGCCUGGGAGACUGCAUAGUCGCAUUCGGCAGCUGGUUCAUGUGUGUGUGCGGGCACACACGCAUGCGCAUAAGCGUGUUUGUGCGCACGUGCCUGGGAGACUGCAUAGUCGGAUUCGGCAGCUGGUUCAUGUGUGUGUGUGUGUGCGCACGCGCGCGCGCGCGUGUUUGUGUGGAUUCGGCAGCUGGUUCAUGUGUGUGUGUGUGCGAGCGUGCAUGCCUGGGAGACUGUAUAGUUGGAUUCGGCAGCUGGUUCGUGUGUGUGCGCGUGCCUGGGAGACUGCAUAGUCGGAUUAUUCAGCUGCUUCAAGUGUGUGUGUGUGUGUGUGUGUGUGUGUGUGUGCGCACGCGUGUGGGUGCGCCGCGGCAUGCAUGCAUGUAUGUAUGUGACAUCAUGUUAUAUCGGUAGUUAUCUGUGGAUUACUAUGUUCUGCGGUGGACUGCGACAGCACACAUUAUGUGCCAAGAUGUGCACCUGGUGAUUUGCAACUGUGUUAUGUUGAGUUGAAAAUGAGCAAUGACAGAUAGCUUUUGGUGCUGUAUGAGUGUGUUAGGAAAUCAAUAGCCAAUUCCAACCUCUUGCAUUGGCCGUCAGGUUGGAUAGGAUCAGCGCGUGCAUUUACAACAGUGUGGUGACGUACUUCCUAUUGUACUACUGUAAUGUCACAUUAGCUUCAGUGUUCAUAUAAUAAUAAUACUGGAGUAUUCUACGUAUUCACUACUAUUCAGUAAUCGAGUGGUUAUUACUUUUGAAAUAUACUUCACUCACCAA